rnacentral:sRNA from 1 species
UCCUAGCCCCGAUAGUAGUGGAAAUCCUUGUGUGCCGGGGUUCGGCACACAAGAUUGCAACGGAUAGCGGGAAAUAGC